UAGUAGGCUCAUGUAUCGAGCUCUAUAUUGUGUUUUUCUUCAUUUUAUUUUUCUUUCAGAGUCAGAGAUGGAGUAGACAUGGACUCUUGAGUCAUAUCCAAGAAAUAGACCUCUAUAGUCUUCAACGUCUCUCAUCCUACCUCUGCCCCGAGGAAAGGAUAUGGAUCUGCAUAAUGUAAUCUGGUUCAAGGUGUACUGCAAGAUCCUACCAUACUAAGUGGCCUUUUGAUGUGAUUAUCUUAGCAAAGUUUGAACACCGACAUGAAAUAAGGGUUGCAAAGUAAAGAGCUGUUGCAUCUACAUGAACUGCAAAGCUCAUGGCAUCUGGACUCUCAUACCUAAGGUCUUAUCCAUCUCUUCAAGUAGAAAAGAUUCUAGACUGCAGAGCCUGAAUUCCCUGCAACAUUAUGCUUCAUGUGGAACAUCAGCCAGCCUUCAGAUACAAGCUCCCUUUCCAGCUCUAAGCUAAACAGUUGCUAAACAGUUCGUGGACAUGUCGCUUUUUUCAACUACGACUUCCCAUGAAACAGACCUUUCAAAUUAAUUCAGCUAAAGCUAUUAAAAAUGCUUCAGUGAGGGUACCAUGGGUUUGCCAUCAGUUUGCCAUGAGUAUGAGAUUAUUGGUUUGAUAAGAAGUCAUCAAGUAAGGUCUAAAGGAACUAAGAUUUUCAAUGAUAAAUCCAAGAAUUGUAUUAUUUCAAAUAGAAUGUUAGAAUCUUGCAGAAGAAAGGACAAAAUACUAGCUUUAGUUGAAGGAUAAAACUUAAGUCAUUAUCCAUAUUAAGUUAGCUUUGCAAUUUAAGCCUGCACUUUCGAUAAAUAUCUUGUUAAGGGUUGUUGAUGCUUUUAAAAUCUAUGAUUCUGUCAUGGAGGUUUACUGUCUUUAAACUUACA